AUCACAAUGCAUGUUAUUUUGUGGAUUGCGUUGGUCUUGACCACUGUUGUGAAUGUCUCUGGACAAAACAGUGGGUGGCCUUGGGCACGAUAUGGAGGGAUGCGAAAUCCAAGAUGCAUCAGUUGCUCAGAGGUAAAAGAGGCUCAUCUGUGUGAAUCCUGCUGCAAAGGAUCAGCCUGUACUCCAAACCCUUGUAAAAAUAAUGGUACUUGUUUACCAGUUGAUAGCGGUUACAGCUGUAGUUGUACUCCGGGGUAUUUAGGGGAAAACUGUGACGUGAAUGUGUGUCUACCUAACCCGUGUAAAAAUAAUGGCACUUGUUCACCAGUUGAUAACGGUUACAGCUGUAAUUGUGCUACAGGAUAUUUAGGAGAAAACUGUGACGAUUCUGAAGAAGGCACAACACCGGUGAAAGGGGGGAGAGUCUGUAAUGUGACAGAGUGUGACGCUAGCGGGGGAACUUGUGCUCUAAUAAAAUGUAACACCGAUGCUACCAAUUGUGCAGGUAAACGAUGUAAUGAAACUAACAAUGAAGUGUGUAUUGAUGAUGCUUGUGUAGUCAGAAGUGAGAAUUGCGGUCUAAUAGAUGGCAUACUUAUGUUUUGUUCAGAUAUAGUACAAUGUGACGAAGACAAUGAUUGUCGAGGUAACCCAUGUGUUGGUGGAUACUGUGGACGUGUUGCAUGUGGAGAAUCGUUUUGUAGUUUGUUUUAAACAAACUAGUUUAUGUUAUGCUAUAUAUCCACUAGUGUACAGCGAGCAACUAUUAUCAGAUUCAAUAUUUAACAUAAUAAACUAUAUUGUAAUAAUUAGGCACUUAUUUAAUUAAAUGCAGUACUUUCUUUAUAAAAUAUAAUUCUAAGUCAACAAUAUAUUCAUCUAAACCCAAAACUACAAUAAUGUAUGUAUAUUGAUAUGUACUUCUUGAAAACAACUAGAUCCAAACCAUUACAAGAUAUUAAAAUAUAACCUAUAUCGCAAAAU